CCAAUUUUUUAUCUUUCAGAUUUUAAAACAAUUAAAUUUUAAUUAUCCUUAAAUAAAACAAAAAAUAAAUGUCGAGAAAACCUUUCUCCCACAACCGCAUCCCCUUUUUCUCCCACGAUUUCAAAAUCGAUCUCCACUUCUCAACAAUGGAACUACAAAAAGGUUUCAGAUCUCUCAAAAUCAAUAUUCCUUUCAUACUACUUCUCACCCUUAUUCCCCGAUUUCUGAGAUCAAAAACCAAUGAUUUCUCAAUUUCUCAAUCAAUUGAACGGUGUUAUUCAUUAGAACGGUGUAUUUCUCAAUUUCUCCCUAUCUCUACUGAGCUUCCGUCGUUUGAUUUGAAUCAAAAGUAAGCUUUUCAACUAUUUUAGAUUAUGAACCAAAAACCAUCACUCUAAUCUUCUCCAACCUCAUCUCAAUCAAAGUAUACUCCGCUGGAGAAGUUUGGGCUAUCAUACAAAAAGCUUUUAGAUCUCUUCCUUUUCUGAUUCGUGUUUCCUCCAGCUCUAAUCGGGUAAAAUUUUUUAAUUUCUUACAUGUUCUGAUUUUAGGGUUCAUCAAUAGAAUCUCUCUUCUAACUGCAAGCACUACUUCUAUAUCAAAAUCUUUCAAUAUACAAAUUCUAUGUUCGAAUUUCUCAAUUUUGGUUUACUUUGUCAUCAUCGUUUUUAAUGCCCAUCCAAUUUUCUAUUUCAUGUGUUGUUGUGUUCUUAUCACUUGUACAAACUCUCAUGUAAAUUUUAAUGUAUUCACAGUCUUUACUAAUUUUAUAACAACUCUGUUACAAGUUUUACGUUUAGUUUUGAAACAGGGAAGUAGGAUACAAGCUUCUGUAAAAGAGAAAUUAUUGAGCCGUCUCUCUUGAAAUUUCCAGCAUUGGACGAAUAUAAAACAAUAACCUCAAAUCUCUCUGGAUGGCAAAAACAUUGAAGGUGACGGUUUAGCGUCAGCCUUCGUGGUGCCUGUGUGAGGGAGUUCACCAAUAUGACGUUAACUUCCCAUGUGACGGAUCUUUACCCGCUAAGUUUGGUCCACCUAAACGCCGGUAUGAUAUCAUCAAAUCUUUGGCUAUGCUUUGGUGAAUUUAGAAGACGAGAGUUUGGAGAAUGAAGUUUGGAAUAUAAUUUCGUAUAGAAGCAACACAAAAAUGAAGUUUUGAAGUCUUGCAAUUCAAAAGAAAAGAAAAAAAAAACAAUCUGAAAGAUGGGUGCAUGAUGUGGAAUCAUCUUCCACGGUGAAGUGUGAAGAAUUUAAACGUGCAAUCAUCUAAUAUAUAUGUUCAAGAUCCUUUUGAGUAAGAUAUACAAUAUACAAAGGUAAAGGGCUUUUGUUUGUUCGAUCGCUCAUUUAUGUCUUACAAUACGUUUGCGUAUUUAUGUAAGACCCUUGGCAAUUUCAUAAUGCAAUGAAUGUUUCCUCAAAAUUUUGUCGCUCAUAUGUGACGAUUUGGUAAUAUUAUGAUACAGCUUUGGAUGUAA